rnacentral:rRNA from 1 species
CCUACGGGGGGCAGCAGUGAGGAAUAUUGGUCAAUGGACGAGAGUCUGAACCAGCCAAGUAGCGUGAAGGAUGACUGCCCUAUGGGUUGUAAACUUCUUUUAUAUGGGAAUAAAAUGUUCCCCGUGUGGGAUUUUGUAUGUACCAUAUGAAUAAGGAUCGGCUAACUCCGUGCCAGCAGCCGCGGUAAUACGGAGGAUCCGAGCGUUAUCCGGAUUUAUUGGGUUUAAAGGGAGCGUAGGUGGAUUGUUAAGUCAGUUGUGAAAGUUUGCGGCUCAACCGUAAAAUUGCAGUCGAAACUGGCAGUCUUGAGUACAGUAGAGGUGGGCGGAAUUCGUGGUGUAGCGGUGAAAUGCUUAGAUAUCACGAAGAACUCCGAUUGCGAAGGCAGUUCACUGGACUGCAACUGACACUGAGGCUCGAAAGUGUGGGUAUCAAACAGGAUUAGAUACCCUGGUAGUC